rnacentral:rRNA from 1 species
GUACGGGGGGGGCAAGCGUUGUUCGGAAUUACUGGGCGUAAAGGGCUCGUAGGCGGCCAACUAAGUCGGAUGUGAAAUCCCCAGGCUUAACCUGGGAACUGCAUCCGAUACUGGAUGGCUUGAAUCCGGGAGAGGGAUGCAGAAUUCCCGGUGUAGAGGUGAAAUUCGUAGAUAUCGGGAGGAACACCAGUGGCGAAGGCGGCAUCCUGGACCGGCAUUGACGCUGAGGCGCGAAAGCUAGGGGAGCAAACGGG